UAUCCUACGGGGCGCAGCAGUGGGGGAUAUUGCACAAUGGGGGAAACCCUGAUGCAGCAACGCCGCGUGAGUGACGAAGGUCUUCGGAUUGUAAAACUCUGUUCUUGGUGAAGAUAAUGACGGUAGCCAAGGAGAAAGCUCCGGCUAACUACGUGCCAGCAGCCGCGGUAAUACGUAGGGGGCAAGCGUUGUCCGGAAUUACUGGGCGUAAAGGGCGCGUAGGUGGGCGCUUAAGUCAGGUGUGAAAACUCCGGGCUCAACCUGGAGACUGCACUUGAAACUGGGUGUCUUGAGGGCAGGAGAGG
rnacentral:rRNA from 1 species